GAUGAACGCUGGCGGCGUGCCUAAUACAUGCGAGUCGAGCGAACAGACGAGGAGCUUGCUCCUCUGACGUUAGCGGCGGACGGGUGAGUAACACGUGGAUAACCUACCUAUAAGACUGGGAUAACUUCGGGAAACCGGAGCUAAUACCGGAUAAUAUAUUGAACCGCAUGGUUCAAUAGUGAAAGACGGUUUUGCUGUCACUUAUAGAUGGAUCCGCGCCGCAUUAGCUAGUUGGUAAGGUAACGGCUUACCAAGGCAACGAUGCGUAGCCGACCUGAGAGGGUGAUCGGCCACACUGGAACUGAUACACGGUCCAGACUCCUACGGGAGGCAGCAGUAGGGAAUCUUCCGCAAUGGGCGAAAGCCUGACGGAGCAACGUCGCGUGAGUGAUGAAGGUCUUCGGAUCGUAAAACUCUGUUAUUAGGGAAGAACAAAUGUGUAAGUAACUAUGCACGUCUUGACGGUACCUAAUCAGAAAGCCACGGCUAACUACGUG
rnacentral:rRNA from 1 species